UACAGAGGCCCCAAGCGUUGUUCGGAUUCACUGGGCGUAAAGGGUGCGUAGGUGGUGAGGUAAGUCCGAUGUGAAAGCUCCGAGCUCAACUCGGAAAUUGCAUUAGAAACUACCUUGCUCGAGGGUUGGAGGGGGGACUGGAAUUCUCGGUGUAGCAGUGAAAUGCGUAGAUAUCGAGAGGAACACCAGUGGCGAAGGCGAGUCCCUGGACAACUCCUGACACUGAGGCACGAAAGCUAGGGGAGCAAACAGG
rnacentral:rRNA from 1 species